ACAACAUGCGUGUUUUGGCAAUUGAAAAUUUUAAAAAAAUAAUAAAAAAAUUCACCUUUGUCCAGGUAUAUAUAAUAGUAGCUGAUUUUCAUGGGGGUAUUGUACAGGCUAGGUUUGCCAGUCUUGGACUUCAGAAUAUCUUGGGAGUGCUUCGAACUAAACCAGAGAAGAGAAAACACAACAAAGUGGACUACUCCUCCGCCCCUUUGCGUCGUUCCAAUCGAUCGAAAGGAGACUCUGCACCAUCAUCAAAAAAGGAAUCUGAUGACAUAAAGGAGCGCCUUUAUCAGGAAGCUUUGGGUCAGCGUUCCAAUCGAUUGAAAGUGGCAGUUUCCUGUCACUCCUGCAGGCAAAAGAAUUAUUGUGAUGAAGAAGAUUGUAAACGUUGUGGUGAUUUCGACAUGGAUCAACCUUGUUUAGGCAUGUCGGAUUGUUCAAUUUGUCAUUCUAGCAAUGGUCUUCUUUGCCGAGAAUGUCUUAAGAAUCGAUAUGAACUGGAGGAGGUGAGAGCUAACAAAGAAUGGAUAUGUCCUCAUUGCACUGAAGAAAAAGGCAUCAAGCCGUAUUGGUUCUGUAACCGGUACGCAGUGGUUAUAUAAACAGGUUUAGGUGAUUGUGAAGUCAACUCAUUUGGCUUUUUCUUGCUCAUGGAUCAAUAUCUUGUCGUAGGUCAUCAUGCCUAAAGAAGCGAAAUAUAGCUCUAACUGGGAACACAUUAAAAGCUAGACGGAUGGGGUACAAAUCAGUGGCACAUAUGUUUAUGGAUCAGCUUCAGGGAGCAGUGAAGGGUGGAGAUGAUAAGCUUUUUGGUUAAUUCCAAACUUUCUGUGCGAUGAUAAGAGUAGAAUUUGCUUUUGAAUGUAAAAAUGGAAUGUGUUUUAAUGGCAUGGAUCCUUAUGUCUAAACAUGUUUUGUACCCGAUAUGGUACGUAUUCGGCUAAUACAGAUUUGCAUUGUGUAAUUGA